rnacentral:rRNA from 1 species
GACGAACGCUGGCGGCGUGCUUAACACAUGCAAGUCGAACGGUAAGGCCCUUCGGGGUACACGAGUGGCGAACGGGUGAGUAACACGUGGGUGAUCUGCCCUGCACUUCGGGAUAAGCCUGGGAAACUGGGUCUAAUACCGGAUAGGACCACUGCCUGCAUGGGUGGUGGUGGAAAGCUUUUGCGGUGUGGGAGGGGCCCGCGGCCUAUCAGGUUGUUGGUGGGGCGAUGGCCUACCAAGGCGACGACGGGUAGCCGGCCUGAGAGGGUGACCGGCCACACUGGGACUGAGAUACGGCCCAGACUCCUACGGGAGGCAGCAGUGGGGAAUAUUGCACAAUGGGCGCAAGCCUGAUGCAGCGACGCCGCGUGAGGGAUGACGGCCUUCGGGUUGUAAACCUCUUUCAGCACCGACGAAGCGCAAGUGACGGUAGGUGCAGAAGAAGGACCGGCCAACUACGUGCCAGCAGCCGCCGUAACAC